UACCAGCACCCCGAGUGGUCGGGACGAUUAUUGGGCCUAAAGCAUCCGUAGCCGGUUCUACAAGUCUUCCGUUAAAUCCACCUGCUUAACAGAUGGGCUGCGGAGGAUACUAUAGAGCUAGGAGGCGGGAGAGGCAAGCGGUACUUAGUGGGUAGGGGUAAAAUCCGUUGAUUCAUUGAAGACCACCAGUGGCGAAGGCGGCUUGCCAGAACGCACUCGACGGUGAGGGAUGAAAGCUGGGGGAGCAAACCGG
rnacentral:rRNA from 1 species